UUAAAUGAGGACAUGUUUUGUGUUUAGUUUACUUGUUUGUAUUUAUGUUUUUUGUUGAUAUGUUAGGGGCGGAUUGUUUCAAGGUGGUAGACAACAAAUAAUUUCCUGAUCCAACCCUUGUUUCUCUAGUUUUGAUUUGUUUUAGGCGACUUGGGGAUGGUAAUUAACCAGAGUGUAAAGUUGGAGACGACUAUGGCAGUUUAAUGUAGAUGUGAGGAGAUGGGAUUUGCAGAGGAAGGGUUGAAGAAAUGAAUGUAUUUGAAGACUAGGUUAACAAGAAGAUCUUAGUUUUUGUUGUGACUUUCAGACCACUUUGUGCAUAUGCUUAGUUACAUCAGGUUGAUGAGGAUGAUGCUAAGAAAAGAAGUAGCGUUGAUGCCUAGAUACACAUAUAGACGUUAG
rnacentral:lncRNA from 1 species